CCUACGGGUGGCAGCAGUGAGGAAUAUUGGGCAAUGGGCGCAAGCCUGACCCAGCAACGCCGCGUGAAGGAAAAAGGCUUUCGGGUUGUAAACUUCUUUUCUCCGGGACGAAGCAUGUUACGGUACCUGCGGAAUAAGCCACGGCUAAAUACGUGCCCGCAUCGCCGGUAAUACGUAGCCGGCAAGCUUUAUCCGGAUUUACUGGGUGUAAAGGGCGUGUAGGCGGGACGGCAAGUCAGCUGUGAGAUCCACGGGCUCAAGGGGUGGCCUGCAUUUGAUACUGUAGUUCUUGAGUACGGGAGAGGUAGACGGAAUUCGUAGUGUAGCGGUGAAAUGCGUAGAUAUUAGGAGGAACACCAGUGGCGAAGGCGGUCUGCGGGACAGCAACUGACGCUGAGGCGCGAAAGCGUGGGGAGCAAACAGGAUUAGAUACCCCAGUAGUC
rnacentral:rRNA from 1 species